rnacentral:other from 4 species
GCGGGGCUGCGGGGCUCGUUAGGAGACAAUUCCCCGGGGCCUUAUCGAUCCUUAAGGGAGCUGUACCUGACCUUGCCCGUGGGCUUGGACAUACGGCGCCCACCUACGCUGUAGGUUUCCCGGGAUCGACCUCCGACGGCUUUUGCGGCUCCGCU